rnacentral:misc_RNA from 1 species
CGCACCUUGCACCCUUUGGUAUUCCGAAGGGUACGCCCGUUUGAGAGUCAUUGUAAUCUCACCCCGGAAAUUUAUUUUUUACGGGAGUGGACUUGGACGUUGCCGUGUCACGGCUCGUCUCGAAGGUCUCAGUGUGACCCGUUCGCAGGCGUCUACAGUGUGAUAUGUAUCUUCACUGUGAGUCUCUCCGGAGGCGCGCUCUCGGACGUUGGGCCUAUGCUGCCAACCGUCUUCGGACAACUUUUGACAAUUUGACCUCAAAUCGGGUGGGACUACCCGCUGAACUUAA